rnacentral:lncRNA from 1 species
CUUUUUUGUAUUUUUAGAUUUUGGAGUCCUCUAAUACUUGCUUCUUGGACCAAAGUUAAUUCCUUGAUUAGAUCAUUAUCCUUAUGAACCCUUUCUUCACAAUUGCAAUGGCAGAAGAGAUGUUGCCAGGCCUUUCAGGAAGGGAGAGACACCCAGGUGUGACCCAGUAAUAUUUGGGAAUCAAUUUUAUCCUCUGAUGCCUCUGCCUUCCUUAUUACCCCCUUUAUAUCAUUAUCUGUUCCUGACCUCACUUCAUGAAACGCGUCUACCUGCCUGGUGAAUCUCAAGUACCCAUCAAAGAGCCCAAGAAUCUUGGACCUUGCCAGACUGAAUACUCAGACUCCUUUCGUAACCAUUUAAAAAUAUGCCAUGGUAUCUGGAGUUCCAAGUCCAGGGGUUUUCUUUGCACUAGGGACUUCAAACACCACCACGGACUGCAAACAGGAGCCAAGUGGGGGCUCAUUUGUGAAAGCACUGUAUUAGUCUAUUUGUGUCCACUCCCUCCAUUUUUAUCAGCAAAGUAUCUAUUAGUGAGCAAUUACCAAUUCACCGACCUGAGAGCUUUCUGCUGUGAAAUAUUUCCCAGUGAAUCAACAAGCCAAGUUGUUGGACUGCUAUGAAUGAUAAAAUGGCAUCCUUGGUCCUCUUUUGAUACUCAGACUAUAUUGUUGCCCUGGGAAGAAACAAGCUCCAAACUCACAUUUAAGACCCCAGAUAAAAAAGUGACGCCAAGUUGCGCCUCACAGGUGUUUUGGCACCAGCACGUCCACCAGGGAAUUUCUUAAGUCAAAUGAGCAGAUGGACUUGCCAUUUGAUAUCCUGAGCUUGUCCUGCACGAAUCAACUCCUAAAUAUUAUUCUGCUCUGUGGGCAAUUCUCUGCAAUCAAAUCUCUGGUAGGUUUCCCUUGAAAACUGCUCUUGGAAAUUCACCUGACGUGGUUUCCUUCCUCUAAAGCUUGUGUAACUACACAGACAGAAGACUUCUUGGGCCAAAGAGAUUCCUGCAAUAACCAAGAAUGGCAAAAUAAAUAAUAGUUUGACUGGUGAGAAGAAGAAAGAUGCACCAGAGCCUGGAUUUAUAACUGCUAACCAUUCUUCUCAUUUUGCUCAGGAAAGAUGUGCUUGGUCCAUUGUACAUGCUCAGCAAAUACUGAGAAAAUAAGAGAAUGAAUGGAAAAGAACUCAGUGUGAGAAGAGAGCUAGCCUGAAUCAGCAGUUCCCUAACAUUGCUGCAUAUCCGAUGUGCUUACAAGCUUGUUAUAUUCAAUGUCUUUUCAAGUACCUCUUCCCCAUCGACCCAUAUUAUUUUUUAAAUUAAUUAUAAUAAUUCAAAAAAAUUAUAAUAAUUCAAAUAUUAUAGACAUUUCUAAACAAAAAUCAUCUCCUUCCUUUUUCUUGAAGCAAGACCCCAACGAUGCAAAACACUCUUAACAACUCACCGCGUGUUCCUUUGUAUUUUUUCUUUGUUUACACAAAUGCACAGCCUUUCACCUUGCCAUAUAAAAAUGACAUUGAAUGAAAAUACUUGUUAAAACUUGACUUUUCACAUAAUGUAUUGCACUCUUCCCAGUUAAUACAAUACAUCCCAAGCUGCUUCAUUCACUUCAUUUUCCUCCAUAGCACCCCACAAUAUAAUUACAUAUUGAUUCUUUCAAAGGUUGUUUGUGUGGGCUCAUAAACGUUGGAAACUCA